rnacentral:rRNA from 1 species
CCUACGGGAGGCAGCAGUGGGGAAUUUUGGACAAUGGGCGCAAGUCUGAUCCAGCAAUGCCGCGUGAGUGAAGAAGGCCUUCGGGUUGUAAAGCUCUUUUGUCAGGGAAGAAACGGUGGGGAAUAAUACUUCCUGCUAAUGACGGUACCUGAAGAAUAAGCACCGGCUAACUACGUGCCAGCAGCCGCGGUAAUACGUAGGGUGCAAGCGUUAAUCGGAAUUACUGGGCGUAAAGCGUGCGCAGGCGGUUGUGCAAGACAGAUGUGAAAUCCCCGGGCUCAACCUGGGAAUUGCAUUUGUGACUGCACGGCUAGAGUGUGUCAGAGGGGGGUAGAAUUCCACGUGUAGCAGUGAAAUGCGUAGAGAUGUGGAGGAAUACCGAUGGCGAAGGCAGCCCCCUGGGAUAACACUGACGCUCAUGCACGAAAGCGUGGGGAGCAAACAGGAUUAGAUACCCUGGUAGUCCACGCCCUAAACGAUGUCUACUAGUUGUCGGGUCUUAAAUUGACUUGGUAACGCAGCUACGCGUGAGUAGACCGCCGUGGGAGGUACGGUCGCGAGAGUAAACGUACGAAAGAAAGUUAGACGGCGUGAGACGUAGACCGACGGACGACGACGAGGGGAGGAGGG